UCCAGACUCCUACGGGAGGCAGCAGUGGGGAAUAUUGCACAAUGAGCGAAAGCCUGAUGCAGCAACGCCGCGUGAAGGAAGAAGGCCUUCGGGUCGUAAACUUCUGUCCUUGGGGAAGAAGAACUGACGGUACCCAAGGAGGAAGCCCCGGCUAACUCCGUGCCAGCAGCCGCGGUAAUACGGAGGAUGCGAGCGUUAUCCGGAUUUAUUGGGUUUAAAGGGUGCGCAGGCGGAGGCACAAGUCAGCGGUAAAAGCGCGGGGCUCACCCCCGCUCCGCCGUUGAAACUGUGUCCCUUGAGUGCGCGAAGGGUAGGCGGAAUGCGUGGUGUAGCGGUGAAAUGCAUAGAUAUCACGCAGAACUCCGAUCGCGAAGGCAGCCUACCGGCGCGCAACUGACGCUCAUGCACGAAAGCGUGGGUAUCGAACAGGAUUAGAUACCCGUGUAC
rnacentral:rRNA from 1 species